GGGGCAGCGGGGGGCACCUCUUGCGCUCGCAUGACCUGAGAUGCCCAGGCCCAGCGUCGGUUCCCAUGACCUCCCACUCCCCACGCCGGUGCUUAUGGUGGCACCCCCUCUCUACCGCCCUGGCCAAGCUGCCCAGCUCCUUCAGGACACAGGUCCGAAAGUAGACUUGUGGCACUGAUGGACCCCUGCCCUCGACACAGCAUGAAUGGGGGAAGUGGAAGGCAGGGAGGAGACAGAAGCAGCAAGGAGGCAUGUUUUUUUCUUUCUUCCUUUUUCCAGAUAAAGUUUCCAGAUAUGCCUUUGGCACUCUUAAGAUGCUCUGCCCUGCUUUGGUCAGGAAGCAGUAUUUUGAGGGGGAAAGAACUCUGUUUGAAAGUCACAGUAAGUUGUCUUUUUUUUCACCUAAUCUCUUUCAUGGGGUUUCUGUUACUCUGGUGGCACCGCAGUCACAUACUGAGCUGCAUCAAACUCCUUUAAUAUAUUCACCUUGAGUCUGUUAGCAUUUUCUUUUUCCUAAUCUUGAUAAUCACAGCAUCUGAUCCUUUCAUUCUAAACUGCAGCCUUCCAAUCCAUCCUUAAUCUAGACCCAUCUGACCCUCUUCCAAAGGAGACAAAUGAGGAUAAGCAAUCCAGCCCCUCCCCAAGACACAGCAUUGGAGCUUAAAUUUAUAUUCAUCCCCACCUCCAUCCUUUUUUAAAAUCAAAUGUCUCUUUAACUCCUCGAGCUAAUUAUAAAAGCAAAUAGCUUUCCCUCCCUGAGUCAUAUUCCUUGGCUUGUAAAAAGGCAGUUCUACUCAGAGACCACCUUGUCACAAACAUGAAAAAAACCCGGCUAGUUCAGGACUCCUCAGAGAGGAAAGGGUGAAGUGGCAGCGCCCC